UACGGGAGGCAGCAGUGGGGAAUCUUGCGCAAUGGGCGAAAGCCUGACGCAGCCAUGCCGCGUGAAUGAUGAAGGUCUUAGGAUUGUAAAAUUCUUUCACCGGGGACGAUAAUGACGGUACCCGGAGAAGAAGCCCCGGCUAACUUCGUGCCAGCAGCCGCGGUAAUACGAAGGGGCUAGCGUUGCUCGGAAUUACUGGGCGUAAAGGGAGCGUAGGCGGACAUUUAAGUCAGGGGUGAAAUCCCGGGGCUCAACCUCGGAAUUGCUUUUUGAUACUGGGUGUCUUGAGUAUGAGAGAGGUGUGUGGAACUCCGAGUGUAGAGGUGAAAUUCGUAGAUAUUCGGAAGAACACCAGUGGCGAAGGCGACACACUGGCUCAUUACUGACGCUGAGGCUCGAAAGCGUGGGGAGCAAACGAGGGAUUAGAUACC
rnacentral:rRNA from 1 species